CGUUCAUCAAGUUAAUUUAUAAAUUCAUUAUAUCACCAUCAAGAGUUAAUUUAGUAUUUAGUGUGAAUCAAGUGUGUGUGUUUAUCUGAUGCCAUUGCCUCAAACAUGGUCGGGCUUAACAUUAUUAUUACCCACUAGUAUACAUUUGAUGGGCUGUCUGAUGUUAGUUGAAAUGUUUAUCUAUUUUUAUUCCUCUCUUUAUUCCAUUGGCAUAUUACUAAAAUUGAACAGCUGUUAUCAUCAUCAUCAUCAUCAUCACGAUUUCGUAAAUAUAAUGCUCGUUUACUGUUUGUCUGUUUUUUUUUGUUGGUGGGGGUGAGCUCCAAUGACAAACCGGGAUUCUGUAAAUGUAUCUUUUUCUAUAUAUACCCGUGUGUAUGUACUGGUAACGAUUCCUAAGUCCUAAAGAAAAUGUUCAAACUAUAUCAAAUUAACACUAAAGGGAAAAAAAGAGGAAACUUAUGGGAAUAGAUAGACUUCCUGAACCUAUUAUAUGAUAGAUCAUCAAACCAAAGAAAAACUUUAUUCAAUUCUUCAACGAAUGACUACGACAACGACGACUAAUAGUUAAAGGUUUUUAUAUAAAUCACUGUUUAGUCAA